GAUGAACGCUGGCGGCGUGCCUAAUACAUGCAAGUCGAGCGAACGGACGAGAAGCUUGCUUCUCUGAUGUUAGCGGCGGACGGGUGAGUAACACGUGGAUAACCUACCUAUAAGACUGGGAUAACUUCGGGAAACCGGAGCUAAUACCGGAUAAUAUUUUGACCCGCAUGGUUCAAAAGUGAAAGACGGUCUUGCUGUCACUUAUAGAUGGAUCCGCGCUGCAUUAGCUAGUUGGUAAGGUAACGGCUUACCAAGGCAACGAUGCAUAGCCGACCUGAGAGGGGGAGCGGCCACACUGGAACUGAGGCACGGUCCAGACUCCUACGGGAGGCAGCAGUAGGGAAUCGGGCGCAUUGGGCGAAAGCCUGACGGAGCAACGCCGCGUGAGUGAUGAAGGUCUUCGGAUCGUAAGACUCUGUUAUUAGGGAAGAACAUAUGUGUAAGUAACUGUGCACAUCGUGACGGUACCGAAUCAGAAAGCCACGGCUAACUACGUG
rnacentral:rRNA from 1 species